rnacentral:rRNA from 1 species
AGCUCCAGUAGCGUAUAUUAAAGUUGUUGCAGUUAAAAAGCUCGUAGUUGGAUUUCUGGCAGGAGCGACCGGUCUCACACCCUGUGUGAGAACUCGUGUUGUCUCUGGCCAUCCUUGGGGAGAUCCUGUUUGGCAUUCAGUUGUCGGGCAGGGGAUACCCAUCGUUUACUGUGAAAAAAUUAGAGUGUUUAAAGCAGGCUUAUGCCGUUGAAUAUAUUAGCAUGGAAUAAUAAGAUAGGUCUUUGGUACUAUUUUGUUGGUUUGCGCACCAGAGAAAUGAUUAAUAGGGACAGUUGGGGCUAUUCGUAUUCCAUUGUCAGAGGUGAAAUUCUUGGAUUUCUGGAAGACGAACUACUGCGAAAGCAUUUAGCAAGGAUGUUU